UNGGUCAGGAGUGGGCUGCAAUACAGUGGU
rnacentral:piRNA from 1 species